CUGAACCUCCCUCUGGGCUGGGCACGCUUGGACUCCUCUAAAGAGCCUGGACCAGCCUAAGCCACAUCCCUGGGCUUGACUUCUCCAGAACAAGCCUCCUGGUCUUUCUGGGGGAGCUCUGGCAGCAUCACUGUGCCUGUGCAGGGAGAGCGGGAACCCACUUCCUGCACCGGCUUUCUCUGAGUUCUUCAGGAUGAAUUCGCUCUGGUCUAGCGGAGCUGGAGUUUGUUCAGAUCAUCAUCAUCGUGGUGGUGAUGAUGGUGAUGGUGGUGGUGAUCACGUGCCUGCUGAGCCACUACAAGCUGUCUGCACGGUCCUUCAUCAGCCGGCACAGCCAGGGGCGGAGGAGAGAAGAUGCCCU
rnacentral:sRNA from 1 species